UCACACUAUAAAUUGAUCAUGCAAUUUUUUAUUUUAACAUCCAAUUUUUUAAAAAAUGAAUAAAAUUUUUAAAUUGGUUUUCAUUUUGAUUACUCUUCUUUUCAAAUCAAUUAUUUUAACCAAUGGAGAAGAAAUGAUUUUUAUGUGCCUUCAUGACUUAGAUUGUCGUAGAAAGUACUGUGAACGUCCUCUAGUUCAAAUGUGCAUGAAGAACUUGUGUCGAUGUGUGUUUGAUAAGGAAUUAAGAUGGUGAAAAAUUAUGUGGUAAUUCUAAGAGUAUAGAUGGAUUUGAAAUUUAUAUUCUUGGUACUUUUAAUGAUUUUCAUAACACUUCAAAGUUUGUUAUACCUUAAAAUUUAUUUGAUGACUCAAGAGAAGAUUAUUGUAUUAUGAAAGUGUUUGUUAAUUUGUUUUCUCUUGGAAGUUUUUGAGAAUAAUGUCACUAGACAAUUUAAACUA